AAUUAAUUUACAUGGAUAAAGUAUUGCUCAAAGUUCAUAAAUGAACAUAUUUUACACGGAAGUAAAGGUAUAGACUACAGAAGAACGACCAAGACGAGUUUCAUGAAGAGCAAAAACACCUUCACACACUGAGAUCAUGGGCGCUACACCUUCUAAAGAUAAUGAACCGAUUGAGAAAAAGGAAAAACCAUUUUGUGAAAGUGAGGUCAGGUGAAGUUUGCAGAACAAUAUUCAUAACUUGAGAAAUGACAAAGAAGAUUCAGAAGAGAAGACGCAGAGAGUUUACAUUGAACUCCACAGAUUUGUGCUGAUGGUUGUAGUUGCGGCUCUUAUCGGCUCAGUUGUUGGAGCUCAAGCUGGAGUUUCGGGAUCUUGCAAGGGAAUAAUCUCCGGAGUUCUUGUAGGGAUGAUACUUUCAAAAUUGAUGUCAAUAAUUCAUGGCAACAUAUGAUUUUACAUUACUUUUACUCAUAAAAUAAGCAAUUUCAAGGUCUUACAGGCACACUGUUAACAAAUAUUUUCAUGAUUUGUUAUCACAAC